rnacentral:lncRNA from 1 species
AUGCCCCAGCCCCUCCCAGGCCCCGAGGCUCUCCUCUCCCCACCCCAAGGGCGGCCACACCAGAGUCACCCCACUCAAAUCCCCACCAUUUCCACCCAUGCCCUGGCCAGGCUCCAAGGCCAUCAGCACAGAGCGUGCAGAGCAGCCAGCCUCUGGCCUCGGCCUCCCAUUUCAAAGGCUUCCUCCUCCCUGAUGUUCUCACACCCACCACAGAGGUGGCGGUCCACAGAGGGAACAGUCACAGAGGCCACGGUCCAUGGGGGGACAGUCCACGGAGGUGAUGGUCCACAGAGGCCACGGUCCACAGAGGCGACGGUCCAGAGGCUGCGGUCCACAGUCCACAGAGGGCACGGUCCACGGAGGCCGCAGUCCACAGAGGCACUGGGCCAGACGUGUGUGGACAAACCAGGGGCCCCGAUACCCUCAGAGAACAGGGACCUGAGAGGGGCCGCCAUACCGAGAACCCGACCCCGCUGCCACCUGACCCCCGACCCCACAGGCUGCCCCUUGGGGCGCUGGGACCCCCCGGGACCCCGCCCUACGAAUAGCUUCAGAGAAACACCAUUACCCAGCCCAGCUGUCCCCUAGAGCCCCAACCCCAUAGGCCGCUCCCUGGGGCGCUGGGACCCCCCAGGACACCACCCUACAAACAGCUUCAGAGAAACAGCCUCUCCCAGCCCAGCCGCCCCCCAGGCCCCAACCCUGCAGGCUGCGCCCUGCGGUGCUGGGACCCCCCCCCUCGCCGGGACCCUGCCCUAUGAACAGCUUCAGAGAAACAGCCUCUCUGGGCCUAGCUGUCCCCUAGAGCCCCGACCCUGUGGGCCGCUCCCUGGGGUGCUGGGAUGCCCCCCCCGGGACCCAGCCCUACAAACAACUUCAGAGAAACAGCCUCUCACAGCCCAGUCGCCCCCCAAGCCCCGACCCCGCAGGCUUCGCCCUGUGGUGCUGGGACCACCCCCCCCUCGCCGGGACCCUGCCCUACAAACAGCUUCAGAGAAACAGCCUCUCCCUGACCCCGUGAUGGCCGCAGGGGCCCUGGGAGAAGGUAGACAGAGGGACGAGCAGAAAUAGAAGACCCUUGGUCUUCCGGGCACAAAGAGGCGAGGCAGGAGGUGGACGGGCCUGGGAGCCAGGCAGAGCGUCCACCUCGUGGCUCUCUGACGAGCCGAGGGCCUGGCCGGCCAACCGCUGGGCCUCAUCCCAUCACCUGGGAACGGGGCGACAAACGGCCGCGGAGGCACCAGCACUGGACCCGGCAAGCGGCACAGCCCCGCCAGCCCCGAGCACCGCGUCCAGCCACGGGUGGCGCCACACUCCCUGAGGCCCAGACUCCUCCGGGCUCUGGGGGGCUGCGGCCGGCCCGGCCCGGAGUCCUGUCCCAGGGCCCACCCCACCCCACCUGCAGAGGGCCCUAAGCCGAGCCGACACCCGCCCUUGCCGACGGCUGGAGCACAGGGACCAGCCGGCCCUGCCCACGGGGACAGCCGCGUGGUGGUCUGCACCCCCCCAGAAGGGGCAUCUCGGGGGCCGCCCAGGGUGCUGGCGGUGACGCCAUGCAGACCCCCAGAACCUCACCCAGCCACGAAGCCCUGGGGGCCACUAAUUGGCCCUCCACUUCCGUAACUCUGCCACCGUGAGAACGUCACUUAAACAGUGUCCCGCAGGACGGGAGCUCGAGGGCCGGCUUUGCCCUUCAGCAAGCUGCCUGGAGGCUCACCCCGCCCGCCGUGUGUGUGAGCAGCUCGUCCCCUUUUCUGGCCGACCGCUCUCCCACGGCAUGGAGCCCAAGCUUAUUUAUCUACUUGCCUGCUGAGGGAUACCUGGGUUGUUUCCAGUUUCGGGCUUUUACAAAGAAAGCUGCUAUGACAAGUUAACGUACAGGUUUUCACGUGAACGUAAUUUUCCACUUCUCUGGGAUAAAGGCCCAAGGGUGCAGCUGCCAGGUCACACGGCAGUCCCACGUCCAGUUUUCUAAGAACCUGCUCAGGUGUCUUCCGGGCCAUUAUGGCUGCCAUUCCCAGCAGCAACGGACGAGGGCCCAGCUCCUCUGCGUCCGCACGGGUGGGUUUCACUCUGACCAUCCCGAUGGGUGUGGACCGACAGCCCCCUGGGGUUUGCUCUGCAUCUCCCUGCUGCCCGAGGAGCUGGGCGUGUCCCGGGGCUCGCUCUCCAUCCCAGGGUCCUCUGCGGGCGAGCGUCUCUUCGACUCUGUUCAGAUUCUAACUGGACUACUUGGUUUCCGGGUUGUUGAAUCGACGGAGAUCUUUACAUGUUCUGGAUGCCAGUCCUCGUUCAGAUGUGAAUCAGCAGCUUGUCCUUCAUCCCACGUGCCUCACGCUGGCCCCUCCAGAAGAGAAGGUCACUGGAGACAGUGUAUCCGCUGACCCCACAUCGCGGGCAGUGCCCAGGUGCAUAUGGGCCCCGAGCAGACACAGGAUAAAAGCCUUGGGGCGAUUAUCUCCAGAAAGCCCUGAGUUCCUUGGCGUGGCCCACUUACAUCUAAACGUCACUCCUACGCCCAGAUAAAGAGCCCCUUGUGUGCUUAGCUGUGAAGGAACUCUUCCCCUAACGAGUCUCAGAGGCACCAGCAGAGGUCAGAGAACACGGCUCACAUAACAAAGACCGUCUGGAGCUCUCAUCCUGCUCCUGGGGGGAGGGGCACACGCCGAGCUGUGACCAACAGGCUGUCCCCCGGGGCUCAGGGCCGGCGAGCCCCAGCCUGAAGCCCAGAGCCCUCUGCACCCCUCUGCCACAGGGGUGUCCAAGGGCAAGACCUCUGGCCCCUCCUGGCCAGCCCUGCCCUGCCACCCGCCUCCGCUGCCCACCGGAGCCCACCGGGCCUCCACAGCCAGUCCAUGCCGCUGGGAACCCGGUCUUCUUCACAAGAGCAUGGAGAAGGAGGAACACUGUGGGAUCCGUUUGCCAAGGGAAGCGCGAGACUCGUCCCCGAGAACUACAGGAGCCUGCUGAGAAGGCGCAGAUCCGGCGAGACGGAGACGCACUCCUGUCCGUCGGGAGAAACCUCGAUGCCGGGAAGAUGCCAGUUCUGUGUCAAACCGAUCUACAGACUCAACGUGGGCUUUCAAAAUAGAAAGUUAUCUAAAAUUCAUAUGGAAACGCAAAGGACCUAAAAUAGUCCAGACGGUUCUGCAAAAGAAGAAUGAAGUGAGAGGAUGUACAUGACCCGGUUUCCAGACACUGUGGAGCCACGCCCGUGCAGACUGGGGCUGGUGAGACGACGCGGCACACGGACUGUGGGGCAGAACCCGGAGCCCAGAAGUGAGCCCUCUCCCUGACGGCCAGCUGAUCAUGAACGAGGCGCCAAGACGUGUCCACGAGCCUCUCUGGCGAGUGGAGCUGGACACCCGGACAGCCACAUAACCACCCAGCCUCAGACCCUGACCUCACGGCACACACGGCAACUCAGAGGGGCACAGACCUCAACGGGAGAGCUAGAAGGACCAGCCUUUCAGAAGAAGGCGUGAGUCUCUGCUAACGCGCUUGAGGCAAAGUCUUGGACCGCAGACAACAGAAGCAGGAUGCUUGGAAGAAAAAGACAAACUGGACUUUAGAGCCUUGCUGGGCUCCCUGGCGGCUCACCCGGUGGCUCGGGGGCAAAGACUCCGCCUGCCAACACAGGGGACACCGGUUCCAUCCCUGGCCCAGGAAGACCCCGCAAACUGCGGCGCAGCCAAGCCCGUGAGCCUGUGCCCUGGGGCCCCAGAAGUGCUGGCGCCAAGCGCACAGGCCACGACUGCUGAAGCGCCGAUAGCUCGUGCUCUGCAAAGCGAGGAACCCCGCCGCGAGAAGCCCGACGGCAGGAGCAGAGAGGGCCCCACUCGCCACAGCCAGAGGGGCCUGUGCAGCAGCCGGGCCCAGACAGCCUGUCAGGGGUCUACCCAAGAAGGUGGACGC